UCUCCGUUGGUGAACCAGCGGAGGGAUCAUUACCGAGUGCAAACUCAUAACCCUUUGUGAUCCUAUAUCUGUUGCUUCGGCGGCUCGCUCUCGGGCGAGCCCGCCGGUAAUAUCAGUAUCUCUGUUUGAACCCGACGAUACUUCUGAGUGUUCUUAGCGAACAGUUAAAACUUUUAACAACGGAUCUCUUGGCUCUA
rnacentral:misc_RNA from 1 species